rfam:Flavobacterium frigoris PS1 66_14, whole genome shotgun sequence.
UUUUAGCCCCGACGGUAAAGGCAUCCUUUUACUGGCUUCUUUAGACAGUAAAAGAUACAGUGUACAGCGGGAAAUAGC